UAUGAACGCUGGCGGCAGGCCUAACACAUGCAAGUCGAGCGGUAACAGGGGUAGCUUGCUACCCGCUGACGAGCGGCGGACGGGUGAGUAAUGCAUAGGAAUCUGCCCGAUAGUGGGGGAUAACCUGGGGAAACCCAGGCUAAUACCGCAUACGUCCUACGGGAGAAAGGGGGCUUCGGCUCUCGCUAUUGGAUGAGCCUAUGUCGGAUUAGCUAGUUGGUGAGGUAAUGGCUCACCAAGGCAACGAUCCGUAGCUGGUCUGAGAGGAUGAUCAGCCACAUCGGGACUGAGACACGGCCCGAACUCCUACGGGAGGCAGCAGUGGGGAAUAUUGGACAAUGGGCGAAAGCCUGAUCCAGCCAUGCCGCGUGUGUGAAGAAGGCCCUCGGGUUGUAAAGCACUUUCAGCGAGGAAGAACGCCUAGUGGUUAAUACCCAUUAGGAAAGACAUCACUCGCAGAAGAAGCACCGGCUAACUCCGUGCCAGCAGCCGCGGUAAUACGGAGGGUGCAAGCGUUAAUCGGAAUUACUGGGCGUAAAGCGCGCGUAGGUGGCUUGAUAAGCCGGUUGUGAAAGCCCCGGGCUCAACCUGGGAACGGCAUCCGGAACUGUCAAGCUAGAGUGCAGGAGAGGAAGGUAGAAUUCCCGGUGUAGCGGUGAAAUGCGUAGAGAUCGGGAGGAAUACCAGUGGCGAAGGCGGCCUUCUGGACUGACACUGACACUGAGGUGCGAAAGCGUGGGUAGCAAACAGGAUUAGAUACCCUGGUAGUCCACGCCGUAAACGAUGUCGACCAGCCGUUGGGUGCCUAGCGCCCUUUGUGGCGAAGUUAA
rnacentral:rRNA from 1 species